UGAGGAAUAUUGGUCAAUGGGCGAGAGCCUGAACCAGCCAAGUAGCGUGAAGGAUGACUGCCCUAUGGGUUGUAAACUUCUUUUAUAAAGGAAUAAAGUCGGGUAUGGAUACCCGUUUGCAUGUACUUUAUGAAUAAGGAUCGGCUAACUCCGUGCCAGCAGCCGCGGUAAUACGGAGGAUCCGAGCGUUAUCCGGAUUUAUUGGGUUUAAAGGGAGCGUAGAUGGAUGUUUAAGUCAGUUGUGAAAGUUUGCGGCUCAACCGUAAAAUUGCAGUUGAUACUGGCUGUCUUGAGUACAGUAGAGGUGGGCGGAAUUCGUGGUGUAGCGGUGAAAUGCUUAGAUAUCACGAAGAACUCCGAUUGCGAAGGCAGCUCACUGGACUGCAACUGACAUUGAGGCUCGAAAGUGUGGGUAUCAAACAGG
rnacentral:rRNA from 1 species